rnacentral:rRNA from 1 species
AGCUAUAUGACAUACAUAUUUAGUGAUUUCUGCUCAAUGAUUAUUUAAAUAGCCGCAGUACCCUGACUGUGCAAAGGUAGCAUAAUCAAUUGGCUCAUAAUUGGAGUCUGGCAUGAAUGAAAGAAUAGGGAGUGACUGUUUCUUAAUGACUAUUAAAAAUUGAUUAGAAAGUGAAAAUGCUUUUGUAUAAGUAUUAGACGAGAAGACCCUAGAAAUUUUUUGUUGAAUUAUGUUAACAUUUUGUUGGGGCGACAGAGUAACAAAUAUUUAACUUACUUGGUUUAUUUGAAGUAUUUAUACAGUAAAAGUAAAUUACUCUAGGGAUAACAGCAUAAUUUUAAUUAAGUUUGUGACCUCGAUGUUGGAUUAGGAAAAUAUUAAGUUUAGAAGAUAUAUAUUUUAGCUCUGUUCG